CCACUUUAGACUGAUCGGCAGAAGUGUAUAUAAAGACGUCCGAGAUCUCCAUUCCGGCAUAACACAUCUUUUUGUGCACAUUUAUUCUUUGUUUUCACUUUAAUCCUCAAAAAUCAAACAACAAAUCAAAAAUGGGCGCUGAAAAAGUAUCCAUGAACAUCGUUGUCGUCGGACAAGUCCAAUCUGCCAAGGCCGUCAAAACCGUCGCCAAGGCCACACCAUCCACCAACCAACUCAUUAGCUGUUAAUUUAUGUAGUUCAUACACCUCAAACUCAAAAAUGUCAUAGCCCUAACAAUGUAAUAUGAAACAAUCAUUUUGAUAUUGACACCAUAAAAUAAAACAGUCUCUUCCAAUA